rnacentral:rRNA from 1 species
UAAUACGAAGGGGGCUAGCGUUGUUCGGAAUUACUGGGCGUAAAGCGCACGCAGGCGGUUUGUUAAGUCAGAUGUGAAAUCCCCGGGCUCAACCUGGGAACUGCAUUUGAAACUGGCAAGCUAGAGUCUCGUAGAGGGGGGUAGAAUUCCAGGUGUAGCGGUGAAAUGCGUAGAGAUCUGGAGGAAUACCGGUGGCGAAGGCGGCCCCCUGGACGAAGACUGACGCUCAGGUGCGAAAGCGUGGGGAGCAAACAGGAUUAGAUACCCUGGUAGUCCACGCUGUAAACGAUGUCGAUUUGGAGGUUGUGCCCUUGAGGCGUGGCUUCCGGAGCUAACGCGUUAAAUCGACCGCCUGGGGAGUACGGCCGCAAGGUUA